ACCCUUUUCUUCCCCUCAUUCUUCUUUUGUCCCUUGGACUACAGCUCAAGAUGCCACAUGGCGAGGCUCUGCAGCCCAUCUGCUCAAACCUGCCCACACCGCACCUUGCUCCCGGGAGCCCUAAACCCCUCGCCGAGUCUCAGGCUGAGCAGGGGUCUCAGAUCUGGCUGCCCAUUAGAAACCUGGUAGGCUCUCACCCAAUGCAAAGGAUGCUGUGAUCCCCUCAGCAGGUCCUGAGAGAGGACUCAGCCACUGCACACCCACACUGGUCUCUGGAGGGGCAGCCACGUUCUAUCGUGGUAACGUCCGCCCCGUGGCAGGGACUGCUGACUGUCCCUACGCUCUCCUCCUUCCUCUUGGUGAUGGAAGCUACCACCCGCCGAGUUGCAGAUGCCCACAUUUCCCGGACCCUGUGCAGCUCGCUGUGGCACAGAGACUGCAUGUGGGACAAUGGGAAUACUACCAAAGAGAGGCUGAGGAGUGAGGUGAGCCAGCCUCCAUCCCGUGGGAGAGAACCACAUGACGGGCCAGCCCCAUCCCGUGGGAGAGAACCACAUGACGGGCCAGCCCCAUCCCGUGGGAGAGAACCACAUGACGGGCCAGCCCAAUCCUGUGGGAGAGAACCACAUGACGGUGGAGCCACACGUCCACCAGAGCCUAAGCGUUGGGGCCCCGAGUGACCACACGGAACCACGCUGCCCCAGGCACAGGAGCACUCAACUCUGCAGCCUCACCAGAGGGAGACGGCGCUGCCUGCCCGAGCCGCUUCACACUCAGACCUUUUCACUACAGCAGAUUCAUCUACUCACAACAAAGGGGUUGUGAGUUCU
rnacentral:lncRNA from 1 species